GCNAGAAGUCUUAUUACAGUCACACGGACUCUAUUGACACAUACUGUUGUAUGAGUUAGUGGCGGACGGGUGAGUAACGUGUGGAGAACCUGCCGUAUACUGGGGGAUAACACUUAGAAAUAGGUGCUAAUACCGCAUAAGCGCACAGCUUCGCAUGAAGCAGUGUGAAAAACUCCGGUGGUAUACGAUGGAUCCGCGUCUGAUUAUCUGGUUGGCGGGGUAAAGGCCCACCAAGGCGACGAUCAGUAGCCGGCCUGAGAGGGUGAACGGCCACAUUGGGACUGAGACACGGCCCAAACUCCUACGGGAGGCAGCAGUGGGGAAUAUUGCACAAUGGGGGAAACCCUGAUGCAGCGACGCCGCGUGAGUGAAGAAGUAUUUCGGUACGUAUAGCUCUAUCAGCAGGGAAGAAAAUGACGGUACCUGACUAAGAAGCCCCGGCUAACUACGUGCCAGCAGCCGCGGUAAUACGUAGGGGGCAAGCGUUAUCCGGAUUUACUGGGUGUAAAGGGAGCGUAGACGGCAGCGCAAGUCUGGAGUGAAAUCCCAUGGCUUAACCAUGGAACUGCUUUGGAAACUGUGCAGCUGGAGUGCAGGAGAGGUAAGCGGAAUUCCUAGUGUAGCGGUGAAAUGCGUAGAUAUUAGGAGGAACACCAGUGGCGAAGGCGGCUUACUGGACUGUAACUGACGUUGAGGCUCGAAAGCGUGGGGAGCAAACAGGAUUAGAUACCCUGGUAAUCCACGCUGUAAACGAUGAUUACUAGGUGUUGGGGGACCAAAGUCCUUCGGUGCCGUCGCAAACGCCUUAAGUAAUCCACCUGGGGAGUACGUUCGCAAGAAUGAAAAUCAAAGGAAUUGGACGGGGAACCCGCACCAAGCGGUUGAACAUGGGGUUUAUUUCGAAGCAACGCCAAAAACCUUUACUGGUCUUUGCAUUCCCAUUGAACCCU
rnacentral:rRNA from 1 species